UCUUCCCACUGACCUCUGCUUGUUUCAUCUGGUCCUCGAGGCUGCUUGCUCUUUCUAGUCUUUCCUACUAGGUGCAGCAGCUACCACACCUUUAGGAGACUGAUUCCAAAAGGCGCCGACCUUCUGCAAGUCCCCCUGAGUUCGGAUGGAGAUACAGAAGAUCAUAUAUGAAGCCGUGUCAUUGUACUUAGAGGGGAUCAGGGGACAAAAUGUGGAGAGUGACAAGUAUUGCUGAAAGCAGGGAAACUUUUGUUUGCUUCUCCACUGUAGAACAUGACGAGGAGUUUUAUCUGCAGUUCCACUAAAACCAAAAGCCCACACCACAGAGCAAAGUGAUAUUUCGGUGACAUCUAGAAAGGCAUUUCAAAU